rnacentral:rRNA from 1 species
UUCCGGUUGAUCCUGCCGGACCUGACUGCUAUCGGAUUGAUACUAAGCCAUGCGAGUCUUUGCAGUAAUGCAAGGCAGACGGCUCAGUAACACGUAGUCAACUUACCCUAUGGACGAGGAUAAUCUCGGGAAACUGAGCAUAAUACUCGAUAGAUCAUAAUGCCUGGAAUGGUUUAUGGUUGAAAUGAUUCGUCGCCAUAGGAUGGGACUGCGGCCUAUCAGCUUGUUGGUGAGGUAAUGGCCCACCAAGGCGAUUACAGGUACGGGCUCUGAGAGGAGAAGCCCGGAGAUGGGUACUGAGACAAGGACCCAGGCCCUAUGGGGCGCAGCAGGCGAGAAAACUUUGCAAUGUGCGAAAGCACGACAAGGUUAAUCCGAGUGAUUUCUGCUAAAGAAAUCUUUUGCAAGUCAUAAAACCACUAGUGAAUAAGGGGUGGGCAAGUUCUGGUGUCAGCCGCCGCGGUAAAACCAGCACCUCAAGUGGUCAGGAGGAUUAUUGGGCCUAAAGCAUCCGUAGCCGGCUCUGUAAGUUUUCGGUUAAAUCCAUGUGCUCAACACAUGGGCUGCCGAAAAUACUGCAUAGCUAGGGAGUGGGAGAGGUAGACGGUACUCGGUAGGAAGGGGUAAAAUCCUUUGAUCUAUCGAUGACCACCUGUGGCGAAGGCGGUCUACCAGAACACGUUCGACGGUGAGGGAUGAAAGCUGGGGGAGCAAACCGGAUUAGAUACCCGGGUAGUCCCAGCUGUAAACGAUGCAGACUCGAUGAUGCAUUGGCAUAUAGCCAGUGCAGUGUCGCAGGGAAGCCGUUAAGUCUGCCGCCUGGGAAGUACGUACGCAAGUAUGAAACUUAAAGGAAUUGGCGGGGGAGCACCACAAGGGGUGAAGCCUGCGGUUCAAUUGGAUUCAACGCCGGG